CAAGCAGGCGCUAUCGUUUCGGCGCAUCCUCCAUCGCGGCGACUCCCAUGACGCCGCUCACGCGCUCCUCAUCCGCGACCUCGCGCUCUCUCGCCGUCGAGCAUGGUCUCUCUUCUGCCGGCGGUCCCAUGGUAAUUAUCCAUCACCUAUUUUUCGUUGUUCCUCCCGUUCUUCCACUUGCUAUAGGAAAUUUCAUUUAUUUGUAUUUUCGUCGGCUGCUCGAGAUUUGAUAGUUUGCAUCUGUCUCAAGUACUUUGUUAUUGAUUUCGUAUAUGGACGUGAUAAUCCUGCAGUAGCAGAAAGAAUGGAAAAAAUAAUUGAUCUACAGAUGGACAUGAAAUUUGGUGUUUUAGAUGACAGGUUGAUUGAAUUUGGAUGUCACGUACUGCAUAUAGUUGUUCACAUGUUCUGGAGUCUUGAUCUUAUAUUAUGACAUGCAUUUUUGAGGUAUGUUCUAUCACUUUGGGGUUAUUGUUUGAUUUCAUCAUAAGGUUCUAAUAGCUUGACCUUUCAACAUUGUGCAUGGUUGUGUUUGGUUAAGGCACAACUGAAUAACUAACAGAGGAGUGAUGAAAGAGGAGAUGACCUUGUGCUGCAGCUGGCUGCUCCACACAGAGGUGGGCAGACGAAUUAGGAUUUUGCUGUCAGCUUGGAGGUCAUUUGAUAUUUUCUUGCUAGCUCCUCCAGUUUGUACUGAGAUAAAUUUGUGCUGGGUUGAAGUUAAAGUUCAGUUGAUUUAAAAGCAAAGAGAUAAGAAGUACUCCGUAUGUUUUAUCACUCAAGAUACGAGCACGGUAACAUUUAUAGUUUCACAUACAAUAUCUUUUCUUUGCUCCGACCAUAUUGAAGUAUAAAUUAGAUAAAUUUAGGCAUGGCAAUUUAUAUCAAUCUAAAGUUUCAAUAUUACGUAUGCCAAUGAAAUUUAUGUAAAUCAAAGCUGCCAGUGUGCCUCAGUUUUGUGUGCAAGUCCUCACUUAGGCUAGACCAUAUGGAAAGUUUUUAUUUAGUGCAUAAUUCUCAGCAUGUGCUUCGUUAUUUGUUUUCCCUGCUAUUCUCUGCAUAUUCACAAGAUCAGACUAUACGAGUUAAGUAGUUAACUAGACAUGAAGAGUCUUUGUCUUUCAUGAUCAGUAUAUACAAUUCUUCCUACAACUCAACUUGGCUUAUACUUUCUUCCGGCGUGUUAUAGCCUUACAUGAUUUCAUGCCAUUGCUUUUCGUGCUGUUCAAUUGUUAAUUGUGGGAAAGGCUAUUAUUCUUUGCGAUCUUUGUCUACAUUAAAUAUCAGGUGGGAACUUGGUGAUUUAUGGACUAAUCAUAUAUCAUUUUUGCAUGUCAGUAAUAGUCAUUUCGAUUUGCGAACAUGAAUAUCCAUACACUGCAUAUAGUCUAAUAAGAGUUAAUUAUUGUUCAAUAAUAUCUCGUUGAAGAUAAACAAACAUAUGGCCUGACCUAUCUCAGCUGUUAGAUCACCACACAAGUUGCAAAAUUCUGGGACCAACUGGACCUAAAACAUUCAGACAUCAUUGCGCUUGAAAAUGUAUUUUCCUCCUUCUGACUUCAUGUGACAUGCUUUCGAGUUAUACACUAACUUUAUGGUUGUGGCUUGAUUCAUCAAUGCUACUGUACCAUUUAUUCAGUCAUUCUGGUGUUCAUAGUCAGUUUUUUUGAAUAGGAGGCAAUACCCCUAGCCAAUCUUUGUAUUAAAACUCAUCAACACAUUGUUGGAAAAAACCUCUGUUGUAGUUUGCUUUUGUCUUUGUAUUAUGCAAUUAUUUCAUUAAUUCAAAUUUUCAUUAGUUCUUAUGUCCCCAUCUGUAAUUUCAUGCAUCUUUCGACAGUAUAUCACAGCUUAACACCAUUUUCUAAUUUCUAUGCUCCAUGCAAUUAUUGUUUAACCCAUAUUUUUGCACCAUAUCAUCACAUGUAGCCUCUUUUGUUAUAUUUAUUUGUUGCUUCCUAUUCAUUGCAGUUUAAUAUAGGCAUGCUUAUGGCUAACUGAAAUGAGGUGUGUUGCUAUGAUGAUAAGAAAAUUUUGUUUGGCUCAUUUAAGACGACGAUGGUAAUUGUUAGCGUGCCUCCAUGUCUUCAAAAAAUUUCGUCUUCAUCUUCUUCUAUCAUUUAGAGUGGACAUAAGAUAAUAUUCCAAUUGCAAGAAAAACAUUGAAGGUUUGUCUUGCUUUUGUUCUAGACAUGUUUUAGUGUGCAGAUAAAUGUGAUUCUAGACAAAUCUACAACAUUUAUUUUUGAACAGAGGGAAUACUUGUGUAAGCACUCCCUUUAUCAUCAAUACCAAUGUUUUUCACGUCAAUUGGAUACUUAGUAUUUUCUGUCAUUUUCUUUGCUCGAUGCCAUGACCAAAUAUGGUAUACAACAAUAUAUGUACACCAACUUUCCACCGGUUAUCAGAAGAAAUGUUCGCACCUAAGACGGUCAACUGUUUAUUCUUUGUUACACUCUUAUAUAUUUUCAAUUCUCCACAACAUGCACACCUCUUAUUAUUUGUGCUAUCAGUUUUCUUAAAUGUUAUUGCGAUUAUUUUUUAAAGGUUGACAGUAAUGGCAACGUGAGCCUUUUGAUAGCAUUAUCCAUUUAUUUUGUUCUUUACCUGUCGUACUACCACAUUUCAUAUCGGAACCAGCCACCGGUUUCUGAUAGCACAACAAUGCAUCUUGAUUGUCACGGAAUCAGCUCACAGGUUGGUGGCAUUGCUAUGACUUUUAAGAUGGAGGAUCCCAACUAUCUAUACACUUCAGCUCACAGGUUGGUGGCAUCGCUAUAUCUUUUAAGACGGAGGAUCCCAACUAUCUAUGAUGUGUCUGUUAUCCCUCCGGUGUAGCAUUGGGGUUUUGCCUCUUCUUCCUCACUACAGUCAUAACCAUGAGAGCAAAACCAAUUGUACCACCACCACAAGUCUUAUUUGCUUGUUUAUUGCAUUGACCUUUGGAUUGCUCCUGCUUUAAGGUUGUUCAUUUGUGCUUAAAUUGAGUUGGUAGGAUAUGAUGAUUUUACUUGGAAUAUAAGUACAGUUUAUGUUAAUAGCUGAAAAUGAAGGAACUAAAGGUUCAUGGAUGUUGCAAAAAAAAGUCAAAUGCCUAAUAUCUGUUUGUAGAACUUUUGCAUGGCCUAUCUAUUUGGUAGUCAUCUAAUUUGGCAUCGAUGUUCAUUAUGCAUGCCUCAAAUUCUUUGCCGCUGAGGUUCUGCGAGUUUCCUUACAAUCAUUGCUUGAGUGGUCCAUUUCAUAUGUUUUAAAGUCACAGGUCUGAGAAGUGGGGUUUUAAAGAGUUUAUCCCUCUCUUGUAAGUAUAUUCUAUCACGGCUGUUGUGCGUUGUAACUUCAGCUGUUCAAAUUUAAUGAAAUAUUUUUACAGUUAGACUUCUUCCAACUAUAUCAUUUGCUUUUACUUAUGACGUGGACGGGCGCGGCAAAGCGCGCUUCUAUGGUCUAGUUUCUUGUGGAAGUUGUUCUGCUAUAUAGAUAGGUGUUAUUGGUGCCUGAUGAUGCACGAUGUAUUAACUGUGCCAAUGCCUCUAACCUACUAUAGCUCUAUAGAAAUUAGAAAUCUCCUAUGCAAAUGAUUCAGGUUGCCAUUGCGUGCCUCUCCUAUGCGAAUCUCACUUGUAGUACCAAAGAGAAAUUCAAAUAAGAUGGCUUCUCUACGUGUUUUUCUCCGAGUUAGAUAAAUGAAAUCAUAAGAUAGAAAAAUGUGUGUCCCUCUAUUCAGGUACAAUACCUUGGUUCAAACUAUACUAAAUUCUUUGCUUUCCACUAAAGUUAAAUCCAUCGCAUACAUGUUUUUCAUUUCAAAUACAUCUCAAAUUCAUCCCAUAAGCGAAUGAUUUCAAAUUUACUCCUUUUUCACCCUUGAAGUCAAUUGUUUCGUAAAUAUGGGAUAUCGGCUGCUUUUCAUCCUUGAAGUCAAUUGUUUAAUGUUUCGAAAAGGUCCUGAAGUACAUGAGCAAGACUGGUUAGUGGCUGACUGGCUGCUCUGAUGAAAGCAUAUGAAAGAACCAAACUGUACUGAACUGAAGCUGGGGCCAUAUUUGGUAAGAUGCAGACAUCAAACCCUGAACAAUUUUGAAAUCGCUUGCCGAGGUGCAUUUUUAAUCAGGCCCUGAAACUACUCCCAUAUUUAAUGAUUACUCUUCUAUGGAAUUCAGUAACACACCAUGAUUUGGUGAUAAAAAAAUUAUAUGAUUAGCCACACAGAUUCAACCUACAUAAGUAAGCUCAAAAAUGAAUAUCAUGAAGACGUUGAUCAAUAUUGUGUUCUUGCAGGACUGAAAGGCCUGGUGGACAAGGAGGACGUCGAGAACCCUCUGUACAUUAGGGACAUUGAUCACAAUGAUGUUACCGCUGGCUAUUUCUGUGUGCAGCGCCAUGAGUUGACAAGAGGAGCAUCGGCUCAAGGCGUCUACAGCCACGGCCUGUGGGGCGGCCACCGACGAGGGCAUGGAUCCCACUGUAUGUAUGAUGGAUCCCACCGUAUCUUGGAUUUUCCAUUCAGCUUGGUGAAGUAUAUUAUGUUAAUGGACGAAUAGAAUGCCAUGGAUGCCUUCGAUAUUUUGGAGGCAAUUCUUUUUGUGGGUUCACCUCUUGUGAUUAUCUAUAUGAGACAUGCAUAGUAAGGUUUUUCACAGUGUAAUGCGAGCCACUAUUCAGAUUGGCAGAUCCAAUUGUUUCAGAAAAAAUAUAUUUUGGCAGUAUUUCUUCAGCUCCAUUGACAACCAUUUGUGUCCUUUUUAUGGUUAAGAGUAACUUAUUUAUUUAGUUUCUUGA